CUGGGCACCAACUGACGCUGAGGCUCGAAAGCAUGGGUAGCAAACAGGAUUAGAUACCCUGGUAGUCCAUGCCGUAAACGAUGAUUACUAGGUGUUGGAGGAUUGACCCCUUCAGUGCCGCAGUUAACACAAUAAGUAAUCCACCUGGGGAGUACGACCGCAAGGUUGAAACUCAAAGGAAUUGACGGGGGCCCGCACAAGCAGUGGAGUAUGUGGUUUAAUUCGAAGCAACGCGAAGAACCUUACCAGGUCUUGACAUCCGAUGCAUAGUGCAGAGAUGCAUGAAGUCCUUCGGGACAUCGAGACAGGUGGUGCAUGGUUGUCGUCAGCUCGUGUCGUGAGAUGUUGGGUUAAGUCCCGCAACGAGCGCAACCCUUAUUGCCAGUUACUACGCAAGAGGACUCUGGCGAGACUGCCGUUGACAAAACGGAGGAAGGUGGGGAUGACGUCAAAUCAUCAUGCCCUUUAUGACCUGGGCUACACACGUACUACAAUGGCGUUUAACAAAGAGAAGCAAGACCGCGAGGUGGAGCAAAACUCAAAAACAACGUCUCAGUUCAGAUUGCAGGCUGCAACUCGCCUGCAUGAAGUCGGAAUUGCUAGUAAUCGCGGAUCAGCAUGCCGCGGUGAAUACGUUCCCGGGCCUUGUACACACCGCCCGUCACACCAUGAGAGCCGGGGGGACCCGAAGUCGGUAGUCUAACCGUAAGGAGGACGCCGCCGAAGGUAAAACUGGUGAUUGGGGUG
rnacentral:rRNA from 1 species